AAACUCCUACGGGAGGCAGCGGUGGGGANUAUUGCACAAUGGGCGCAAGCCUGAUNCAGCCAUGCCGCGUGUGUGAAGAAGGCCUUCGGGUUGUAAAGCACUUUCAGUAAGGAGGAAAGGUUAAGUGUUAAUAGCACUUAGCUGUGACGUUACUUACAGAAGAAGCACCGGCUAACUCCGUGCCAGCAGCUGCGGUAAUACGCAGGGUGCGAGCGUUAAUCGGAAUUACUGGGCGUAAAGCGUACGCNGGCGGUUUGUUAAGCUAGAUGUGAAAGCACCGGCUCAACCUGNNAACUGCAUUUCGAACUGUCAAACUAGAGUGUGAUAGAGUGUGGUAGAAUUUCAGGUGNAGCGAUGAAAUGCGU
rnacentral:rRNA from 1 species